rnacentral:rRNA from 1 species
AUUGAACGCUGGCGGCAGGCCUAACACAUGCAAGUCGAACGGUAACAGAAAGAAGCUUGCUUCUUUGCUGACGAGUGGCGGACGGGUGAGUAAUGUCUGGGAAACUGCCUGAUGGAGGGGGAUAACUACUGGAAACGGUAGCUAAUACCGCAUAACGUCGCAAGACCAAAGAGGGGGACCUUCGGGCCUCUUGCCAUCGGAUGUGCCCAGAUGGGAUUAGCUAGUAGGUGGGGUAACGGCUCACCUAGGCGACGAUCCCUAGCUGGUCUGAGAGGAUGACCAGCCACACUGGAACUGAGACACGGUCCAGACUCCUACGGGAGGCAGCAGUGGGGAAUAUUGCACAAUGGGCGCAAGCCUGAUGCAGCCAUGCCGCGUGUAUGAAGAAGGCCUUCGGGUUGUAAAGUACUUUCAGCGGGGAGGAAGGGAGUAAAGUUAAUACCUU